rnacentral:rRNA from 1 species
GACGAACGCUGGCGGCGUGCUUAACACAUGCAAGUCGAGCGGAAAGGCCCUUCGGGGUACUCGAGCGGCGAACGGGUGAGUAACACGUGAGUAGCCUGCCCCAGACUUUGGGAUAACCCUCGGAAACGGGGGCUAAUACCGGAUACGACACAGCUUCGCAUGGGGUCUGUGUGGAAAGUUUUUCGGUUUGGGAUGGGCUCGCGGCCUAUCAGCUUGUUGGUGGGGUGAUGGCCUACCAAGGCGACGACGGGUAGCCGGCCUGAGAGGGCGACCGGCCACACUGGGACUGAGACACGGCCCAGACUCCUACGGGAGGCAGCAGUGGGGAAUAUUGCACAAUGGGCGGAAGCCUGAUGCAGCGACGCCGCGUGAGGGAUGACGGCCUUCGGGUUGUAAACCUCUUUCAGCAGGGACGAAGCGUAAGUGACGGUACCUGCAGAAGAAGCGCCGGCCAACUACGUG